CUUUCUCGUGAAAUCUAAGAGGGCGAGGACUGUCCUUCCCCUUGUUUACUUUCAUUCUCACUUCACGCAUCUCCCUUAUCCGAGUGUCCUCGUCCUCGCCUUUAGCAAAAGGUGAAGUUCUCCCUUGUUCUCAUAUGCAGUCGCCGUCCUCAUGCAUCCGAACAUUGCUUCGCUAGCAUUCAGGGCGAGGACUCUUCAACGGGCGAGGACUGUGCCUCUGGUCUUUGCGUCUUAUUCUUGCUUACUUACUUCGUCUUUUCCUUUGUCCUCGCCUGUAGCAGGGGGCGAGGUUCUUCUUCUUCGUUUCAAAGCUUCUCCGAGCUACUCAACGGUCGGCUUCCCUUGAAGAGUCGCGACCUUUCUCUGAAAACGAGUUCAGAAUACAAAGAGUUCAGACGUACCUCCUCCGGGACAGUAGGGACCCCGUCUACUUAAAUCCCAGGCAUCCAGGACAGUAGGGACAUCAUCUACUUGAAUCCCAGGCAUCCAGGACAGUAGGGACAACAUCUACUUAAAUCCUAAGCAUCCAAGAAGGUGGGUCAUCGCCCUCCACCUCACUUGGGGACGAACAACCUCCGGGACAGUAGGGAAAUCAUCUACUUAAAUCCCAGGCAUCUAGGGCAGUAGGGACAACAUCUACUUAAAUCCUAGGCAUUAAUAGCAUGCUUACAUGAUAGGCACCCAAGAAGGUGGGUCGUCGCCCUCCACCUUACUUGGGGACGAACAACCACCCCCGAGUCUUGGGAGUCGAGACAGUAGGUAAAUCAUCUACUUAAAUCCCAGGCAUCUAGGACAGUAGGGACAUUAGAAAAUAUAACCACAAAUUUAGAGAAGAGUAGGUGGGUCGUUGCCCUCCACCACACUUAGGGAAAAACAACCUCUGGAACAGUAGGGAAAUCAUCUACUUAAAUCCCAGGCAUCUAGGACAGUAGGGACAACAUCCACUUAAAUAGAAUAUCCUUUCCUUCAAGAUGUUCUGGAUAGCUGGUUCCGGACGUCAAGGGAGGCGACGGUAGCUGAUUGGUAGCCGGAGUCUCGGGGAACAUAAACCUCUGGGACAGUAGGGACAUCAUCCACUUAGAUCCCAGGCAUCCAAGUAGGUGGGUCGUCGCCCUCCACCGCACUUGGGGACGAUCAACGUCCGGGACAGUAGGGAAAUCAUCUACUUAAAUCCCAGGCAUCUAGGACAGUAGGGACAUCAUCCACUUAAAUCCUAGGCAUCCAAGUAGGUGGGUCGUUGCCCUCCACCACACUUGGGGAAAAACAACCUCUGGAACAGUAGGGAAAUCAUCCACUUAGAUUCCAGGCAUCCAAGUAGGUGGGUCGUCGCCCUCCACCACACUUGGGGAACAUAAACCUCUGGGACAGUAGGGACAUCAUCCACUUAGAUCCCAGGCAUCCAAGUAGGUGGGUCGUCGCCCUCCACCGCACUUGGGGACGAACAAAUAAAAAAUAUUUUCGAAUAACAUCUACUUAAAUCCCAGGCAUCUAGGACAGUAGGGACAUCAUCCACUUAGAUCCUAGGCAUCCAAGUAGGUGGGUCGUUGCCCUCCACCACACUUAGGGAAAAACAACCUCUGGAACAGUAGGGAAAUCAUCCACUUAGAUUCCAGGCAUCCAAGUAGGUGGGUCGUCGCCCUCCACCACACUUGGGGAAGAUAAACCUCUGGGACAGUAGGGACAUCAUCCACUUAGAUCCCAGGCAUCCAAGUAGGUGGGUUGUUGCCCUCCACCACACUUGGGGAAAAACAACCUCGGGAACAGUAGGGAAAUCAUCUACUUAAAUCCCAGGCAUCUAGGACAGUAGGGACAUCAUCCACUUAAAUCCUAGGCAUCCAAGUAGGUGGGGCGUCGCCCUCCACCGCACUUGGGGACGAGCAACCUCCGGGACAGUAGGGAAAUCAUCUACUUAAAUCCCAGGCAUCUAGGACAGUAGGG
rnacentral:lncRNA from 1 species